rnacentral:piRNA from 1 species
GCCACUCUCACACGAGCCAUUUUCAUUAGC